rnacentral:lncRNA from 1 species
CCACACACACAGUAACGCGAGAGAAGCAGAGACCGUGAGAGAAGAAAGAAAAAGGAAAAGAAGAAAGGAAAAAGAAGAAGAAAAAGAAAGGAAAAAAAAGGGAAGAAGAAAAGAGGUAAGGCUAAUCUCUUCAAGCUGGGAUGUAAUUUAUUCAUUGUUCCAAGUGAUAUAGGUGUGAUUUAUGUUAAAUUUUUAGGGUUUUAACUUGUAAUAAUAAAAUGUCAAAUUUAUGUGAUAUAUGUACGAUUUGGGGAACUCAAGCUUGUGGAUUUAUUAGGUUACAGUUUCAGCAAGGUAGUUAGUAAAAUUUUUGGGGAAACCCUAGAAUUCGAUUUUGGAUUUUUGAUUAAUUAAUUGUGGAAAUGAUUAUAAAAAUGGAAUAUUUCACUUGGGAGUUGAUUUUAUGGUACAAAAUGUAUAUUAAAUAGGUGGAAUUAUGGUUACUAGUUUCACUAAAUUGGAGAGUAAAAUUACUUUUAAACUUGGGAAGAAGGUUUUGUUGAUGAAUUAGUUAGUAGAAAAGGAAUUAGAAAGUGAGAUUAGCUCCAAUUGAUCAAAAGAAUAUUUGGGAAAUUCAUUCGAGCAUCGAUCAAUUUUAGUUAACUAUUAUAGAAGUAGAUCUUAAAGUUUCUUAAUUUAAUAGUGGUUUAUUAGUCAUCUUGUUAUGUAUUCCAGGUGGUGAUGAGGAGAUUGGAAGAGCCUAUCGACCAUCUUAGGUUCAGCUUAUAUUAUGUGAGUGGAUAAGCUUAUUUUUCAGAAAUUAGUAUUUAUUUAAUUUAUAUCAACUCAGAAAAUUUAUUAAUUCAUACAGUAGAUUUGACAACACGAUUUUCAGAAUAAAGUUGAUUUAUAACCAGUUGUUUUUAAAAGUUAAAUUCAAUUUAGUAAAUCAUUUUAUUAACAUGUUAUAUGAGUAUUAAAUGUUUCAGCAUAUUUAAAGUUAUUUUCUAAAAAUCACUAGAAAGUACCCAGAUGAUUUUACUCUCGUCUGCACUGGUGUGAAUGUGUUUCCAUAGUGUAUGACUUCAUAUGGUUAUUUUAUCCACUCUGCGCUGGUGUGAAUAUGUUUUUACACCGUAUGAUCAGUAUAAUGAUUUUACCCGCUCUGCACUAUUGUGAAUGUGUUUCCAUAGUGUAUGACCAUUUUAUUGCUCUGUGCGCGUAUGACCAGAAUUUCAGAAUUAUAGAAUUACAGGAUUACAGAAUUUCGGAAUUGAAUAACCUUGCUAUGUAUAACGAGAUUAAUCGAUACACGAGUAUGGUUAUUCCGGGUACAUUUUUGGUGUGAUGUUUCAGUAUUACAUAAUUUAUCGGAUUUUAGAAAUGCAAUAUACAGAAUAAAGAUGUUUAUGAUUAUUGUAUAUUUUAGUUUUGAUAGUAUUAUCAAAUUUUAAGCUACAAAAUUCAGCUUAUUCAGUUUAAAGAAUAAAUAUUUUAGUUUAUAUGCCUGUGAAAAGAAAAUUUAUGCUAUAUGUCAAUUUUCAGAAAGAUUUUAUGAAUGGAAAAGUAUACUUUUACAAAUAUCCACUCACUGAGUCGCAAGCUCAUAUUUUUGCCACCUCAUUUCUUAUAAGAUAAAAGCUACGUUGAGCCAUAUCGGAGCUUGUCGAUCGGCGAGUUUCACUACAUCGUGUCAUUGUUUGUAUGUGUCAUCUUGUUAAUUCAUACAACACAUAUUUUUUGGGAUUGAUGUAUUUUGUGUCGGAAAAUGUAUUAAGUCACAGGCUCAUUGCAUAUUUUGUGUAUGUUUUGAAAUGAAAUUGUUUGGUGGUAAAGAAGGGUAAAUUUCUAUUUCAGUACUAUUCUUUGAAAAAUUGGUAUUUUGAGGGGCCGGUGUACCCUGUUUUAAAAUAUUUGUACAUGUUUGGGAUAUUUGAUUUUAAUUUCAGGUGGUUUUAGUCCAUUUUUCAGAGGGAACUUUGCUGAAUUUUUUUAUAAAAUUAUAACAGUCAAAGCAUGUCAAGUUUGCCUUGGUGGUGGGUCCGGCACUUCGCUGGUAUCUACCAUCAGCGCACGACACGUGUUGGAUCCAUUAGGGUGGUUCGGGACGGGUCGUGUCAAUUGGUAUAAGAGCCAGGUUAUAAAGUCAGUUUGCAUGGUUUAUUUGAUUUUCGUUCUCAUCAUAUCAUACAUAUUUUGUAGUUGGAAGUCAUGGCUCGUGGUAAUAAGACACGCAGGCUCCAAGAUAUGUCGUCUCAACCACCAGCUACUCCUGAUAGGG